ensembl:lncRNA
GCUUAACAUACAACAUGUGAAUCAGUGGCGUUGGCUUAUUUAUCUGUUUGAAAUUUCAGAGACAAUUGCUUUCUCACCCUGAUGGGAGCUGUGCCGAUGCAAACCAGUUAGUGAAAUCUGGCAACUGGUCUAUCAAUCUACCAUGCGGAAUGUUUUGGAGUCUCCAAAACGAGAAUUCAACCCUCAGAGGAAGCGUAAAGAGAAAUGGGUGUGCAUAAUUGCAGAAUGUCAGCAGGAACGGCUGGAGAUGUGCUCAGGGUUUUCAUCGAGGCAGCUGCCCAGACUUGCUACAUUCAGAAACAGCUGGUGCCGUCCAUCCAGCCCAGGCAAGCGCAGGUGGGCCUGUCACGACUGACCGCCCCAUCCCUGACCCAGCCUCCACCAUACGGCCCACAGCAGCCAGAGAGGAGGCUGUGCCAAAACUGUGUCACUCACAAAGACUGAAAUAAAAUGGAAGAUUUGGUACCCAAAGGCUUCUAUGCCCACUGUGGUGGUGAAGCAGAUGUUUCUUGUUGCUUCUGAUGAGCAGGAAGGUGUCUAAACCAUUGACAUCUAGUAAGGUUUUGAUGAUUGGCAAACAUGAUUUACAGAAAGAUGUAAAGAUUUUACUUUAUGAUGGAAUUCAGGGGCCAAAACUGCUAUAUUAUUAUUAUUUUUGAAUAUUUUGUAUUUCCCAAAACACUUCUUAAGAAUAUUCUUAUAUUUUGUUUAAAGUAAACAAGUGAAAUUCUUU